rnacentral:rRNA from 1 species
UGGUGGAGUGGUUUGUCUGGUUAAUUCCGAUAACGAACGAGACCCCGUCCUACUUACUAGACCGAGGAUCCUCUCGUUCUCGCUGUCUUCUUAGAGGGACAACUGCUUAUACUUUGAACUACAUGAAAUGGGGCAAUAACA